AAAGAGCCAACGGUGGAUGCCUUGGCGCCUGAAGCCGAAGAAGGACGUGGGUGGCUGCGAAAAGCCACGGGGAGCUGCCGACCAAGCUUCGAUCCGUGGAUAUCCGAAUGGGGAAACCCCGCACCCGUCAUGGGGUGUGACUCCCGCCUGAACACAUAGGGCGGGUAGAGGGAACCGGGUGAACUGAAACAUCUCAGUAACCCGAGGAGAGGAAAACAACUGUGACUCCCUGAGUAGCGGCGAGCGAAACGGGAUCAGCCUAAACCGAACUGGUGCAAUAGCCUGGUGGCGUUGCCAGUUCGGGGUCGCGGGACCAGCAGCCGGGGGCACCAGACCCCGGAAUCGAGUUACAAAAUUGAUGCCUAGCGGAAGCGUUUUGGAAAGGCGUGCCGUAGUGGGUAAGAGCCCCGUACGCGAAAGGUAAUCAAUCUCGAGCUGUGUUCCCAAGUAGCGCCGGACCCGUGAAAUCUGGCGUGAAUCUGCGAGGACCACCUCGUAAGGCUAAGUACUUCCAGGCGACCGAUAGCGAACUAGUACCGUGAGGGAAAGGUGAAAAGUACCCCGGGAGGGGAGUGAAAUAGUACCUGAAACCGUUGGCUUACAAACAGUCAGAGCGUCGUUCCCGGGUAACCGGGAGCCGUGAUGGCGUGCCUUUUGAAGAAUGAGCCGGCGAGUUACCGUUCGUGGCAAGGUUAACCCGUGAGGGGGAGCCGGAGCGAAAGCGAGUCUGAACAGGGCGUUUAGUCGCGAGCGGUAGACCCGAAGCCGAGUGAUCUAUCCAUGGGCAGGUUGAAGCGGGGGUAAGACCCCGUGGAGGACCGAACCCACCAUGGUUGAAAACAUGGGGGAUGACCUGUGGAUAGGGGUGAAAGGCCAAGCAAACUCGGUGAUAGCUGGUUCUCCCCGAAAUGCAUUUAGGUGCAGCGUCGGGUGAUCAGCGUUGGAGGUAGAGCACUGAAUGGGUUAGGGGGCCUACAAGCUUACCGACCCCAAUCAAACUCCGAAUGCCAACGCUUCAAUAGCCCGGCAGUGAGACCAUGGGGGAUGAGCUUCAUGGUCGAGAGGGAAACAGCCCAGACCGCCAGCUAAGGCCCCUAAUUCUAGGCUAAGUGGAAAACGAUGUGGGAUUGCACAGACAGCCAGGAGGUUGGCUUAGAAGCAGCCACCCUUGAAAGAGUGCGUAAUAGCUCACUGGUCGAGUGGUCCUGCGCGGACAAUGAAACGGGGCUCAAGCCUAGAGCCGAAGCUGCGGAUUUCUUCGCUUUGCGAAGGAGUGGUAGGGGAGCGUCGAGCGUGCAGCGAAGCGGCCGCAAAAGCGGUCGUGGAGCGCGUUCGAGAGCGAAUGCCGGCAUGAGUAGCGAAAGAGGAGUGAGAAACUCCUCCGCCGAAUGCCCAAGGGUUCCUGGGGAAGGCUAAUCCGCCCAGGGUGAGUCGGGAGCUAAGGCGAGGCCGAAAGGCGUAGUCGAUGCACAACUGGUUGAUAUUCCAGUACCACCGUGUCCGCGCCCAUUCCAAGACGGAAUUGCUAAGGGGCUGCUCCUUCGGGAGCGAACCGACCCAUUCCGUGGCGGACAGCGACGGGGAGACGCAGGAAGGUAGAUGAUCCCGGGCGUUGGUUGUCCCGGGGUAAGCGUGUAGGGCGGGGUUCAGGCAAAUCCGAACCCCAUGAAGCCUGAGACGCGAUGCCGAGCCGAUCUAGGCGAAGUCAUUGAUCCUAUGCUGCCGAGAAAAGCCUCUAGCGAGCUGACACGGUGCCCGUACCCCAAACCGACGCAGGUGGGCAGGUAGAGAAUACCAAGGCGAUCGGGAGAACUGUGGUUAAGGAACUCGGCAAAAUACCUCCGUAACUUCGGGAGAAGGAGGGCCUCGUUAGGGUGAAGCACCUCGCGUGCUGAGCUCGAAGAGGUCGCAGAGAGCAGGGUGAAGCGACUGUUUACUAAAAACACAGCAGCGUGCGAAGUCGCAAGACGAUGUAUACGCUGUGACGCCUGCCCGGUGCCGGAAGGUUACGGGGAAGGGUUAGUCCGCAAGGGCGAAGCUCUGAACCUAAGCCCCGGUAAACGGCGGCCGUAACUAUAACGGUCCUAAGGUAGGAAAGCCCCUAUGCAGGCAUAGGGCGCUGCCCCCCACAUUGGUGACGAUGUGGUGCGCAGCCGGCUAUAUGCUGGAAAACCCGAGUAUCCGUCCGCUACUCGUCCGACUGUCUCACCCUCUUCGUAGAGUGGUGUGCAUGUCGGGCAGUGAAAAUGCGGACGGUGCGGAAAACCAGCAGGAAAGGCUCAUGACCAGUGGAUGGGUCGUGGGAUUUGUGGAUGGCGAGGGCUGUUUCAGCUGUCCCAUCUACCGUUGCGGGUCAAUGACCCUUGGAUGGCAAGUUCGACCAGAGUUUGCCGUCGUCCAAGGAGCCUCGAGUCGCGACGUUCUAGAAGAGCUUGUCCGCUUCUUCGGAUGCGGCAAGGUGUUCCGUAAUCGCCGACACGACAAUCACCGGGAAGAUAUAUUCCGGUAUUGCGUCCAGCGCUAUGGAGAUCUCCGGGACACGAUCGUCCCGUUCUUCGAGGAGAACCCAUUGCGGACGUCGAAGCGACACAACUUCGACAAGUUCGCCGAUGUCAUUGCCUUGAUGAAUCACCGACGACAUCUUUCGAUCAGCGGUUUGAUCGAGAUCGCCGGUAUCGCCGAGACAAUGAACCAUCGCAAGCCAUCCGAGGUCCUGAGAAUCCUCAGAGACCAUACGCCGGCCCUCUUCGGAAUGUCGUCCGAAGAAGAUGAGAUGGUCCGGACCCUACGGCGACGUAGGGAGGCUGGCGGAAACGCCCAGCCCGCCUAUCGAGGAGUCGUGCCCCCGAUCGGUUCACAAGUAACAGAUUCCAGCGAAAUUCCUUGUCGGGUAAGUUCCGACCUGCACGAAUGGCGUAACGACUUCACUACUGUCUCAACCACUGACCCGGCGAAAUUGAAGUCCGAGUAAAGAUGCUCGGUAGCUGUGACAGGACGGAAAGACCCCGUGGACCUUUACUAC
rnacentral:rRNA from 1 species